rnacentral:rRNA from 1 species
AUUGAACGCUGGCGGUAUGCUUAACACAUGCAAGUCGAACGGUAACAGGCCUUCGGGCGCUGACGAGUGGCGGACGGGUGAGUAACGCGUAGGAAUCUGCCUCAUAGUGGGGGACAACGUGGGGAAACUCACGCUAAUACCGCAUACGCCCUACGGGGGAAAGCGGGGGAUCUUCGGACCUCGCGCUAUGAGAUGAGCCUGCGUUAGAUUAGCUAGUUGGUAGGGUAAAGGCUUACCAAGGCGACGAUCUAUAGCUGGUCUGAGAGGACGGUCAACCACACUGGGACUGAGACACGGCCCAGACUCCUACGGGAGGCAGCAGUGGGGAAUAUUGGACAAUGGGCGCAAGCCUGAUCCAGCAAUACCGCGUGUGUGAAGAAGGCCCUAGGGUUGUAAAGCACUUUCAAUGGGGAGGAAAACCUGCCGGUCAAUACCCGGCAGCUUGACAUUACCUAUAGAAGAAGCACCGGCUAACUCCGUGCCAGCCGCCGCCGUAAUAC